GCGGCGCCAACGCGUGUAGAAAAAUGUUCGCGCCGCGCGUCUACAUUUAAAAUAACGAAUAUGCGCGCGGAAAAGACGCGAAAGGAGGGACUGCAGUCAGAAUCAGUGAGGGACUUGGUAAUGGCAGCAGAGAAACAGCUGUUUCAGAUGAGCAGGAAAGACAACGAGAGGUGUUGAAGACAUCUAGAGGCUCAAAAAAAGUCUUUGGACACCUAAGCUACACUUCUACCAAAAGUAAAAUUUCUGUCAUUAAUUUAGACUCAAAUCAUUGAGUCCUGUAGAAGGUAUUUUGAGAAUCAUACAAUGGAAGUUGUUUGUUUGGUUACCAACAUUCUUGAAAAUUGUUGUGUUCUGCCUAAAAAAGAAAGCCAUGCAGGGUUGGAAUGACAUGAGGGUUAUAAAAGAUUAUUUUCAUAUUUGGGUGAACUAUCCUUUCAAAUAUAACAAGGUCAGCCAAAUAUGAGAUCGUAAUAUUUUGUUACCUAAUGCACUGACAAAACUUUACACAGAAUUUAUCUAGGAAACAAUUUAAAAAGCAGGCAGUUAAAAGAAAGUAUCACAACCAAUGUAGUUCAGAAGGACAAACCCAUUCUAUGGUCGCCCACUCACAAAAACUCAAUUGCCAUCUAUCCAGACAGGCAGAAGAUUCACAAACCCACCGCACUGUAAUGCCAGCCAAUCAGUGGCAUUGCAAAUGACAUCUAAAGGACGACCAUUCAUCACAGCUCCAGACAGACACAGAGCAUGAAUUAGUGGGCAACCAUGUGAUUCGGGUCUGUGGAUCCCUUUGGCACCUACCUGGGUCCCGGCAGGCAAGCUGGGGGAUGCUGAUGGGGCAAACACAGAAACUCCAGGGAAAGCAGCUGUCAUUUGGCAGGGGGGCGGCUAUCCAACAGCUCUGCAGUUAAUAUGUGAGUGCAUGCUGACAGCCACUACUGUGAUUGAUGUAAUUUGCAAUGCCACAGAUUGACCACAGCACACUCCUACAUAGACUCGAAAAUUACGUCGGCAUUAAAGCGGCCCUAACACACGCAGUUUCUGACAAUCUCAUAUUAAUCUUGAAUACCUAUAGAGUAGUAUUGCAUACUUCGUAUCUUCGAAGAGUAUUUAGUUUCAUCACAUUUAUAAAAGAUAGAUACAGCUGUAUGAUUUUUUCCGAAAGCAUACGGCGCGUGCGGGGGGGAGGGGUAGGCUGAACUAAAGCAUGUGCGCUCCCAUUGCCAACAAAACACAGACAUCAGUUUCACUCACCGCAUGCGGUUCAUGUCUGGCAUCUUUUAGCGCUGGGAUGGCUCCAUAUAUCAGUUUCAAACGAUCUCCAAAUCCAGCAUUAUAUCCACCGUUUAUAUAACAUUCAUCCCCCAAAUGCAGUGAACAAACAAACACCUGAACUUCGCGAACGUAUGCUCUCUCUCUCUCUCUCUCUCUCUCUCUCCUGCACACAAGUGAAAGUGACGUCUGCACAUGCUCCUUCUCCUGCUCUCCUUGCUGCCGCGUGGGCAUGCCGUGUGCUUUUCCGGGAGAAUUGUCCAAUAAGGGACUAAGAAAAAUAAUUACGAAACAGUUUUAUAUGUUCGAAAAAAACUUUCCGAAACCUGUACGAUCGCUGGGGGAGUGUAUCGAGCACAGAAAUACUACUAAUAGGUCCAACUCGUUUUUUGACAAGUUGACCAUGUUAAGCAUGAGAAGACAGCACGUUUAACAGUGUAAAGAAGUCAGAAUGCAUGACACACCGUUGCAGCACCCCUUCAAGGGAAUAGCUUUGAAAUGGUUUAAAUCUUAUUUAUCCAACCGUUUUCAAUUUGUAGCAAUAAACAAUGAGGUGUCACGCAAAUCGCAAGUCCAGUACGGUGUACCACCGGGCUCAGUCUUAGGGCCUCUGCUCUUCACAUUAUACAUGCUACCUCUAGGAGAUAAAAUCAAGCGAGUUAGCUUUCACUGUUAUGCUGAUGAUACUCAACUUUACAUUUCCUUGAAGCCUCAUGAAACACAGCAGUUCCAUCGAAUAAUGGAAUGCAUAGUCGAUAUAAAAAACUGGAUGAGUAACAACUUUUUAUUACUGAACUCGGACAAAACAGAAGUGUUACUUAUUGGACCGAAAACCGCCAUACGUAACAACCAAGAAUACUGCUUAACUAUUGAUGGAUGUUCCAUAAAACCCUCGUCGUCAGCUAAGAAUCUUGGCGUUCUAUUCGAUAGUAAUCUGUCAUUUGAGAGCCAUGUUGCCAACACCUGUAAAAUUGAGGUAUAACUUUGAUUGUUUUGCUUAUAGUCAAUAUGUCUUAUGUACAGCUGCUUUGUAACAAUGAUAAUGAUGAAAUUGUAAAAAGCGGAAUAUAAAUAAAGUUGAGUUGAGUUGAGUUGAGUUGUGGUGUGGUGUGGUGUAGCAAAUAGACACAUGAUCUCCCAUAAAGACAUCAGAUGCUUGUAGACUUUUGGUCUCGCUGUAGCCUAAGCAUCGCAC